rnacentral:lncRNA from 1 species
UCUCCUUCCUCUCCCUUUUCUCACUGAAACUCGAGCUCUCAUCUCUUUGUUCACCGACUUAAUCUUAAGCUCACCGGAGAUUGCCGCUGGAAGGCUUUCCCAACAAAGAAACCCUUCGAUAACGAUAGAGAAGAUCUCCGAAAACGAUUCUUCCUCUCCCGUCCUUGCUUGAAUGAUUGUCAACGAAGAAGAAAUCGAUUAGUGAGUACCUAUUAGCUUCUUCUCUCAUUUUCUUCCGCUCCUUCCACUUCCUCUCUUAAAUUCCAUGAUUUUUCAUUUUCUUGUUAGUUAAAUUAUGAUUACGAUGGCUCUGUAAUCUAGAACGAUAAAUAAUUUCAGAUUAUGAUACCAGAUUUUUUGUUUCAAGCACUUGCUCAAAAUAUUUCAUCAAAAUAAAGAGGUCCCUGUUCAUGAUAAAGGAUUUUUAGUUUUUCAAACAUUUUCCCAAUGCCCCAUCCUUUUGUUUUUCAAUUCAUAAUUGACUGGCUUUUGUCCAUCCUUUUUUUACUCAUCAAGGUUUGAGAUUUGAGUGAACUGAAGAUACAAUUUCUAAAAAAAAUGGUAUUUUUUAUUUUUAUUUUUUUAUGUAACUAUAUGAUUGUAGCUUUCAAAUGCAAAUUUGACUUUAUCUUUGGCCUCCAAUUUUUACUGGUGAGAUUUAACUAUAGUGAAUGCAUGAUUGUUGAGUUGCGAUAGAUAUGAACAAAGUGAGUGACUUUUAUUUAUAAUUAGAAGUAAUACACCUUAGCAUACAUGUAUCUAUUUCUUCCAUUGUGGUGGUUGUUCACUGUGAUUUGAUUGGGCAAUUGGAGUUGGAAGUAUAGUUAUUGAAGUUGUGGGGAUAAUUUAAGAAUAAUGAGACGAGUAUGGAUCUAAAUUUUUUAUUUUAGUUUGGCAAUUUUACUGUUCAAACAUCUAAAGGUUAGUUUCAUUGGUAUAGCAUUACUGAAUGAUCUUGAGAAAAUGUUUAUGUGACCACACACACAUAUAUUUUUUUUGAAUGCUUUUAAAAUAUAAAAUUUGUUACAAAUUUCUUACAAAUGCUUGUUAAUAUAACUGAUUUUUUAUGUUGGUGAACAGGUUAGUUGAAGUCCAUAUAUUCUCUUUUGUUGUUGGAAGAGCAUUUACAACAGAUAUGAAAAAACUAAAAGUCACUAGUAGAAAAAAAUCUCUAGAUAUUACUCAAGUUUUUAAAGAUGAAGACAAUUUGAAAUCAAAUUCUUUGAAUUAAUGGCUUGAGAUCUUGCAUAGAAUAUGAAUCACUGGAUAUAAUCCUAUUUGAAGGUCUUUUGACAUUUCCAAUGAUUAGUUAUCAAUUUUGUAGAAUUAUCAUACAUUUAAGAAAUCGGUAAAAAUCUACAACUGAAGAUUUGUAUCAUCUCAGCCCGUCAAUAUAAUAAUACAUUCAGCCAGUGACACUCUGCAGCUUUUCAGGAGGUGGCAAAGAAGUAUGUAAAGGAUAGAGUUGCUGUCUAUCAAUCUUAUGUUGGAGAUCACAUUAUUAUAGCUUAGGAGAUAGGUGUAUAACCUUAAAGAGUUGCUUACUGGUUAUUGAAUCUCAUUUCCUUAGGUUCUCAUCUCAUUAGUGAUUCCUUUGUAUUUUAGUAUAUAAGAUUUUGGGUUUGGCUUUGUAUAGAAGUUAUUGGAAUUACUCAAAUGUCUUCCAUGUCUGCUUCUAUUCUAGCUCUCUAUUGGCUUUCCUGGGAGAGACUAGAAAGUUAGGAUUUUUUAUAUGCUUUUGCAGGGUCUUCCAUGUAAUUUAAUUUCAUGAAUGGUUUUAAUUUUCAAUAGAAGCAUAUUGUUGAUUUCACUUUAAUAGUAAUAUUAGUUUUC